GGGGAAUAUUGCACAAUGGGCGCAAGCCUGAUGCAGCCAUGCCGCGUGAAGGAAGAAGGCCUUCGGGUUGUAAACUUCUUUGAUCAGGGACGAAGGAAAUGACUGUACCUGAAGAACAAGCCACGGCUAACUACGUGCCAGCAGCCGCGGUAAUACGUAGGUGGCAAGCGUUGUCCGGAAUUACUGGGUGUAAAGGGCGUGUAGGCGGGGAGGUAAGUCAGAUGUGAAAUUCCAGGGCUCAACCCUGGAGCUGCAUCUGAAACUAUCUUUCUUGAGUGCUGGAGAGGAAAGCGGAAUUCCUAGCGUAGCGGUGAAAUGCGUAGAUAUUAGGAGGAACACCAGUGGCGAAGGCGGCUUUCUGGACAGUAACUGACGCUGAGGCGCGAAAGCGUGGGGAGCAAAC
rnacentral:rRNA from 1 species